ACUGAAUUUGGCAGGCUGAUCCU
rnacentral:miRNA from 1 species